rnacentral:other from 1 species
GUCGUGCUGCGGCUCACGUCGGAGGCUUCACAUCCCGGGGACCUUAAUCGCCUCACUCGGGAGCUGUCCCUGCUUCGGUCCGCAGAUUCGUUCUGGGACCGCGGCACACGGCGCCCACCUGGUCAUCCAGGUCCGAGGGGAUUGAACACGCCUCCACGGUUCUUCGCGGCGCCGCC